rnacentral:rRNA from 1 species
GACGAACGCUGGCGGCGUGCUUAACACAUGCAAGUCGAACGGAAAGGCUCCAGCUUGCUGGAGUACUCGAGUGGCGAACGGGUGAGUAACACGUGGGUAAUCUGCCCUGCACUCUGGGAUAAGCCUGGGAAACUGGGUCUAAUACUGGAUAUGACCUUUCUCCUUAUGGGGUUUGGUGGAAAGUUUUUCGGUGUAGGAUGAGCCCGCGGCGUAUCAGCUUGUUGGUGGGAUGAUGGCCUACCAAGGCGACGACGGGUAGCCGGCCUGAGAGGGUGAUCGGCCACAUUGGGACUAAGAUACGGCCCAGACUCCUACGGGAGGCAGCAGUGGGGAAUAUUGCACAAUGGGCGGAAGCCUGAUGCAGCGACGCCGCGUGAGGGAUGACGGCCUUCGGGUUGUAAACCUCUUUCUGCAGGGACGAAGCGUAAGUGACGGUACCUGCAGAAGAAGCACCGGCUAACUACGUG